rnacentral:rRNA from 1 species
GAUGAACGCUAGCGGGAGGCCUAACACAUGCAAGCCGAGCGGUAGAGAUUCUUCGGAAUCUUGAGAGCGGCGUACGGGUGCGGAACACGUGUGCAACCUACCUUUAUCUGGAGGAUAGCCUUUCGAAAGGAAGAUUAAUACUCCAUAAUAUAUUGAUUGGCAUCAAUUGAUAUUGAAAGCUCCGGCGGAUAGAGAUGGGCACGCGCAAGAUUAGUUAGUUGGUGAGGUAACGGCUCACCAAGACGAUGAUCUUUAGGGGCCUGAGAGGGUGAUCCCCACACUGGUACUGAGACACGGACCAGACUCCUACGGGAGGCAGCAGUGAGGAAUAUUGGUCAAUGGGUGCAAGCCUGAACCAGCCAUCCCGCGUGAAGGACGACUG